UACAGAGGAGCCAAGCGUUGUCCGGAUUGACUGGGCGUAAAGCGCACGCAGGCGGUCGUGCGCGUGGGGUGUGAAAUCUGGCCGCUUAACGGCCAGGCGCCAUCCCAUACGGCACGACUGGAGGGCUGCAGAGGUCGAUGGAAUUGCCGGUGUAGAGGUGAAAUUCGUAGAUAUUGGGUGGAACACCGGUGGCGAAAGCGGCUCACUGGCCCGGUUCUGACGCUGAGGCGCGAAAGCGUGGGGAGCAAACAGG
rnacentral:rRNA from 1 species